AAAUCUGUAUUGCUGUAAUUUAAUUUUCUGUUUUACUGUUUUCUGUUUUUUACUGUUUUACUGUUUUCUGUAUUUACUGUUUCUGUAUUUUCGAAAUUUCUGUAACAGUUUCGUUUUUACUGUUUUAAUUUAAUUUUCAUGAAUUGUAAAAUGUUUUUUUGCAUCUCAUUUGGUUUUAUUUUGUUUGGUGAAAGUUUAAAUCUGUUUUGGUUGAAAACAAGGAGUUUUAACUAGUAACUAGUCGUUUUAAUUUCGCAUUUUCAUCUACAUUGUAAUUUAAUUUUUCCGCAUUGACAAAACUCUUCACAAAACCCUCCAACUUCGUGUGUGACUUAAUUUUCAAACCGCAAGUUGGUCCUUGAGAGACGACCUAGGAGUCACUGCCUAGCUAUACUGCAUUUAUUUGCAUACUAAUUUUGUGUGGGUUGCAACAGCUCACCA
rnacentral:lncRNA from 1 species